UACGUAGGGUGCGAGCGUUGUCCGGAAUUAUUGGGCGUAAAGAGCUCGUAGGCGGUGUGUCACGUCGGCCGUGAAAGCCUGCAGCUUAACUGUGGGCGUGCGGUCGAUACGGGCAUCACUGGAGUUCGGCAGGGGAGACUGGAAUUCCCGGUGUAGCAGUGAAAUGCGUAGAGAUCGGGAGGAACACCAGUGGCGAAGGCGGCCUUCUGGACCAAUACUGACGCUCAUGCACGAAAGCGUGGGGAGCAAACAGG
rnacentral:rRNA from 1 species